GGUCAAGAAACUAAGGGCGCAAGGCGGAUGCCUUGGCACCAGGAGGCGAAGAAGGACGUGACAAGCAACGAAAACCUCGAAUAGGAGCAAAUAUCCAGUAACUCGGGGGAAUCCGAAUGGGGAAACCUACUAGACACACUCUAGUAUCCAUACGUAAAUACAUAGCGUAUGGAGGCGAAUGUUCUGAACUGAAACAUCUAAGUAGGAACAAGAAAAGAAAGAAAACUCGAUUCUCCAAGUAGCGGCGAGCGAACAGAGAACAGCCCAUUAAAGUAAGACUAAACUGAUAGACAAAUCUUAUGGAAAGAAGAACCAAAGAAAGUAACAGUCUUGUAGUCGAAAUCAGAAUAGAGACACUUUAAGAAGAGUACCACGGAGCACGUGAAAUUCUGUGGGAAGAUAGGGGGACCACCCCCUAAGGCUAAAUACUACCUGGUGACCGAUAGCGAAUAGUACCGUGAGGGAAAGGUGAAAAGAACCCCGGGAGGGGAGUGAAACAGAACCUGAAACCUUGCGCCUACAAGCAGACAGAGGAAGAAGACUUCUAAUGUCGUACUUUUUGUAGAACGGGCCAGCGAGUUACGAUACGUAGCAAGAUUAAACAUUUAAGAUGUGAAGUCGCAGGGAAACCGAGUCUUAAUAGGGCGAAAGUUGCGUGUUGUAGACCCGAAACCGGGUGAUCUAUCCAUGGGCAGAGUGAAGGUAAAGUAAAAUUUACUGGAGGCUCGAACCGGGUAGCGUUUAAAAGCUAUCGGAUGACCUGUGGAUAGGGGUGAAAAGCCAAUCGAACUCGGAUAUAGCUGGUUCUCCUCGAAAUAGCUUUAGGGCUAGCCUUGUUUUAGAUUACAGGAGGUAGAGCACUGAAUAGUCUAGGGGAAGUAAUUCUACCGAAACUUAUCAAACUCCGAAUGCCUGAAAAUCGAUGAACAGGAGUCAGACCAUGAGGGAUAAGCUUCAUAGUCAAAAGGGAAACAGCCCAGACCACCAGUUAAGGUCCCAAAAUACAGAUUAAGUGGGAAAGGAUGUAAUACUACUCAGACAACCAGGAUGUUGGCUCAGAAGCAGCCAUACAUUUAAAGAGUGCGUAAUAGCUCACUGGUCAAGUGGUAAUGCGCCGAAGAUGAACGGGGCUAAAUCUGAUACCGAAACUGUGGGAUAGAAAAGCAAUUAUGCGAGAAGUAUGAAGUAAAAGUGAUUAGGAAAUAUAUCAACUAGUAAAGUAAGAGAGAAAGACAUAAAACAAAAUUUGUGAAAACACAAAGCGUAAAACUAUUAAACGAUACAAUU
rnacentral:rRNA from 1 species